rnacentral:ncRNA from 22 species
UUGAAUAAAAAUAUUGUAGGUUUUUAUAGAUAAAAUUAAUAGGGAAAGAGGUGUAAUUCCUCUGCAGCCCCCGCUACUGUAAAACGGAUGAAACUUUCAAAUACCACUGUGAUAAUUAUUACGGGAAGGGAAAGGAGUAAAGUGAAGUUAAGCCAGGAGACCUGCCUAUAAUAUAUUAAGUUAG